AACAUUCCUGCAGGAGGAGGAAGCAAAAGGGAACAGAUUGAUAUGGCAAGCUGGGGACACAGGCAACUCCACAAUCCAUGCCUUCGCCUGCCAUGCCUAGCUGCCUCCUGCAGGAAGUGGGCAGGGGGACAUUCACAUGACUGCAUGUGCACUCAUGGUUGGACAUCUAUUUAGUCACAGGCAAAUGCAAACUGAGCCCUGCAUGCAGGCAUCCAGCAGAGUGCAGCCACAGUAAGUGCAUAUCCAUGCAUGUUCACACACCGUGAACUGCAAGGAACUCCAUUUGCCUGCAGCAUUGAAAGGCAGCAGGUCCCUGGGAGCCUGAUGCUGAGACUACUGACCCAUCCACCUCCAUUUGAAAAUAAACACUAGAAAUUGGCCUUACUUUAACAACAGAAAGACAGAAUCCGCCCAAAAGUUGCGGGCCCCACAAACAGGCAGCAGCAUGAAGAAUGCCAAGCAACAUCUCCUGAGCAGAAGAAAAGCCUGAACCCAGGUCCAGGCAAGGGCGGAGCUGGUCCGCUGCCUACAAGAGGCUGCUAGAAUUUCUAUUCACAGGGGUCUUCGAGUGAUGGAGUUUCAAACGGACAGCUUCAGCCAACUCCUUUCAUGCUGGCUGCUCUGCAGCAGAGGAAAGCAGACUAGUGGUCUGAGCACAAGAUUUGAAACAGGAACUCGUGUUCUGACCCUCAUUCUGAACUCCGCCUUUCUGCCUCAGUCCUGGUAACACGUGGCUGAUAUUAAUCUUUACAAUGCUUCUGGGAGAUGGGUAAAUAUUUGCAAGGCUCUUUGAAGACGUGCUAAGUAUUUAUUCUGCAGCAUUACAGUUCACUAUGCAACAGCA